rnacentral:lncRNA from 1 species
UGCACAGGGUUAUGAUCUUGCAUGUGAAGCCCUAGGCACAGUACCUGGACAGACCUGGCUAUCCAGUAGCACCUAUUCUAACCUUACAGGGCAGAGCCAGGUGAAACAUCAGAACAGGGAGAAGACUCUAGAAACUGAGAAUUGACUUGAAUUUGACUUAGAUUUCAACACACUUAUUAAGUAACUACUGUGCAUUGGACCUGUGCUAGUGCCAGGGACACAAAGACCAGGAUAGCACAGGCUGUUUCUCAAGAAGCUCUCAGGCUGCUGGGGGAGAAAGGCACAGGAACGAAGUGGCAGUGCCUUGUGGAGAGAAAACACUUGGCCAAAGCUCUUCACUGAGGGACCUGAAUUCAGAAGACCUGAACUGCAGCCAAGAUGCCAACCCUGUCUCUACAGCAAUGACAACCGGAGGACCCUCCCGUUUGGAAACCCUAACCUCUAUUAUGCUGAGGAACAGUUUGGUAAAUUUCACAUAAAAUGUACAUCAGACUAUAUUCUUGAAAGACAGCCAGGUCCUUCUAGUUGUGGGAUGAGGGACGCCGCCUCAACGUGGCCUGACCAGCAGUGCCAUGUCCGCGCCCAGGAUCCGAACCCUGGGCCGCCACAGCGGAGUGCGCGAACUUAACCACUUGGUCACGGAGCCUGCCCCAGAAAAAGCAUAGAAUUUGAAGAUAUAAAUUUAACUUCUGGCUCUGUUACUUCCUAACUCGUGGUCUCUUUCCUUAUCUGCCAAAUGGAAAUAACUAUAUCUACCUUAAAG